UUGAACGCUGGCGGCAGGCCUAACACAUGCAAGUCGAACGGUAACAGGUCUUCGGAUGCUGACGAGUGGCGAACGGGUGAGUAAUACAUCGGAACGUGCCCGAUCGUGGGGGACAACGUUUCGAAAGGAACGCUAAUACCGCAUACGUCCUACGGGAGAAAGCAGGGGACCUUCGGGCCUUGCGCUAAUAGAUGAGCCUAGGUCGGAUUAGCUAGUUGGUGAGGUAAUGGCUCACCAAGGCGACGAUCCGUAACUGGUCUGAGAGGAUGAUCAGUCACACUGGAACUGAGACACGGUCCAGACUCCUACGGGAGGCAGCAGUGGGGAAUAUUGGACAAUGGGCGAAAGCCUGAUCCAGCCAUGCCGCGUGUGUGAAGAAGGUCUUCGGAU
rnacentral:rRNA from 1 species